rnacentral:rRNA from 1 species
UAGCUAGUUGGUAGUGUAACGGACUACCAAGGCGAUGAUCAGUAGCCGGUCUGAGAGGAUGAACGGCCACAUUGGGACUGAGACACGGCCCAAACUCCUACGGGAGGCAGCAGUGGGGAAUCUUCCGCAAUGGACGAAAGUCUGACGGAGCAACGCCGCGUGAGUGAUGAAGGAUUUCGGUCUGUAAAGCUCUGUUGUUUAUGACGAACGUGCAGUGUGUGAACAAUGCAUUGCAAUGACGGUAGUAAACGAGGAAGCCACGGCUAACUACGUGCCAGCAGCCGCGGUAAUACGUAGGUGGCGAGCGUUGUCCGGAAUUAUUGGGCGUAAAGAGCAUGUAGGCGGCUUAAUAAGUCGAGCGUGAAAAUGCGGGGCUCAACCCCGUAUGGCGCUGGAAACUGUUAGGCUUGAGUGCAGGAGAGGAAAGGGGAAUUCCCAGUGUAGCGGUGAAAUGCGUAGAUAUUGGGAGGAACACCAGUGGCGAAGGCGCCUUUCUGGACUGUGUCUGACGCUGAGAUGCGAAAGCCAGGGUAGCGAACGGGAUUAGAUACCCCGGUAGUCCUGGCCGUAAACGAUGGGUACUAGGUGUAGGAGGUAUCGACCCCUUCUGUGCCGGAGU